AGCACCUUGAAGCUGGCGAUGGUUGGGUCCAAGUAAAUUUGAUUUAUUUCCCACUGUUGCUGUUUUCAAAAGCAUGAGGACGACAGGGAGAGGAGAUGAGAAUCAAGAGGAGAGAAAGCAGGGGAGGAGAAAGGGAAAAAGUGAUUUAGAAGAUUUGCUUCAGCUCAUCAUCAUCUUCACUCCCUUCUGAACACUUGCUUCUCAGAAUCCCUUACCAUCAGGCUUCCAGUUUAGGUUCUGCCAGUGAGAAGUACCCGUGUGAGAUUAAGACGGUGGAAGAGCAGAAGGGUCAUCUUUUGGACCUGACUCUCUGUUUAGGCCAGCCUCAAUACCUGCAGUUUUACUUGGUAAGUUUGUGAUGCUGCGCUCUUGGAAGGAGAACGUGAGCCAUUGGCGUGGAUAAUGGGGGCAGCAGGACAGACCAUUUGUGGUAGGUGGUAGCUGAUCUCCUAUUUCAUGUUGUUACCCGGAGAAUUGGGGCUAUGCCUUCCUCAUACAGAAGAAUAGCACUGGGACCCAGACAGCUGGUCCUAAGCAUAACAGAAUCCCACCCCCUCCAGCAAUGGCUCAGCCAGGACGGGCCCACACAGCUUCAGAACAGUCGGUUUAAUGGCUCUGCAGCCACUCCCAUGCCAGCAAACAACAGGGUGAUACUGUGACCUCUAAGAUUUGGAGCUCAUGCCAGAUGGUGUAUUAUGGCUCCACCCCGGGACUCCCAUUUCUAGUGUGUCACCCCUCCUCCCUCUACAGGACCCAGCCCCAGCCAGUCAUAGGAUGCUGUUGAGCUAUCAGAUGAAUUUAAUUGAAGCUGGAGAAGUACAACUUCCUACCCUACCUGUGUUGUGUCUUUAUAAUACAACAUGGUUAUCUGUGAGGAAUGCAGACAUUCCCCAGCCUAGAAUGGAAUUCACAUCUCUCUCUCUCUUCCUGUUUCAUUCCUUCUGUCACCUACAUUCCUGACCUGCCGAAUGCUUAUUGGACUUAACCACUCUCUAUUAGCAUUGCAAAUGGUAGUCAUGUUGAUGGUGAAGCAGGAGGCACUGGUACCCUUGCUCCCAAAUGUCAGAACCCUUGGCCUGAUGUUGGCAUCUGCAGCAUGGACAGCAACACUGGCCCAGGAUGUCUUUUGUUUGCCCUUUUAUUUAUUUAUUUUUUAUUGUAUAGUUUCUUUUUCUUUGAAUUUUAUUUUAUUUAUUUUUGUAUACAGCAGGUUCUUAUUAGUUAUCCAUUUUUAUACAUAUCAGUGUAUAUAUGUCAAUCCCAAUCUCCCUUUUAGAUCCACUCUCUACCGCGCGCUAUGGCCGGGGGUGGGGAGGCAGUUGAGCCAUGUGGUCUCCUUCAGUGGCGUGCUGGAGCCUCAAAAGCUGAUUAUGUGCAUCUGUUCCUAGCUCCAUGUUUGGUGACCAUGGCAGGAGUAUUUACACCAUGGAAAUCAUCAAACACUACCAAUAAGCACACACACACACACACACACACACACACAGACUUCAGAGCUUGUUGUUAAAUGUUUAUUGACCAGCACACCACUGUGGCUAUACCAGAAUACAGAUAGACUCCCUUGCCCUUUGGCUUCUGGUUGGGUUGGCAAUUGGGAGGCCCCUGCAGGGGACUGAAGGAUGAGAAGAGAGCGCGGUCAGAGUAUCCUUUCUCCUGCCUCCAUUCCUCACAGGUUCCCACAGAUUGGCUGCAUCCCUUUACAAAGGUGAUAGCUGCUGUCAGGCACCCACUCCAUGCAUGUACCUCUAUAGAAUCCAGAUAUUUCUUCUCCUUCCCUCUUCAAGUCUCUGAGUGUUACUGGCUCCAGGUAAUGGAUCAUCUCUCUCUGGCUUCCGUAUACCAAGAGUGCCCUCAUUAUACUCUCCUCUAAUAAGCCAUUGGAGUGUGGGUCACUUGUUCCUCCUGUGACCCUGACUAAUAGGGAACCUAAAUCACAUUGCUGUGCAGAGCUGCUUACUUGUUUCCUGGGUGCAUCCCUGGGGCUCCGUUUACAUAGCAGUUUCCAGGAGCAGUGGUUUUCAAACUCUUUAGAGCCUUGCUUGGGAUGUGUUCUUCCAAUGAAAUCUUACCUCAGAACUCAACAUACAUAUCCUCCUUGACUUACAACAUGGUUACAUCCUGAUAAACACAUGGUAAGUUGAAAAUAUAGUAGGUCAAAAAUGCAUUUAAUACACCUAACUUACUAGACAUCCUAGCUUAGCCCAGCCUACCUUAAACAUGCUCAGAACACUUACCUUAGCCUACAGUUUGGCAAAAUCACCUAACACAAAGCCUAUUUUAUAGUAAAGUGUUGACUAUCUUGUGUAAUUUAUUGAAUACUGCACUGAGAGUGAAAAAUAGGAUGGUUGUAAGUGUAUCAGUUGUUUACCCUCAUGAUCGCAUGGCUGACUAAAAGCUGUGGCUUGCUGGCUGCCCAGCAUCACAGAAAAGUAUGGUGCCACAUAUAUACAAUGGAAUAUUACUCAGCCAUGAAAAGAAAUGAAACUGAGUUAUUUGUAGUGAGGUGGAUGGACCUAGAGAUUGUCAUACA